GCCAUGAGGCUAAUCACCGACCAUUCACAGGGCUUGCGGUCCGCGUCAGCUCUACGGGAGUUAUAUUUUGGAGGAGGUGCACAUCAGUUACGUGCGUAGGCUUCGGCGUAGGUACGGAAGCUGCGCGGACCCCCGGUGCUAUCUGUUACUUAACGCACAGAUAGUCACAUUGUAGCUGCCAGCCAAGGGGCUUCAGGAUUACCUCAAACCCACCACUUUGCCUUUUUACCUUUUGCCAGGUUGACUUAAAGUUAGCUUGAGUCAUCAAAACUUUUUUUUAAGUUAAUGCUUGGCUUACAUAUUUUACAGCUUAAACAGACAUCUGGUUGAUGACAGAAAAAAAUCAGCACUAAAGGAAUAAAGGAAUAAUGAUAAGUACAGUGCUACUUCCUUGAUGUGUUUUUCUCUGUUCAUCCUGGUUUCCUUUCAAGUAUUUUAAGAAGUAACUCAGCAACCAGGAUCCCCCUCAUCCUGCUGCCACACACUUCACACACAGUUUGUCUCCCCUCACCACCUCCAGCAGGGGGCAGCAGUGAACUCACCUUGAAGCCUAUGUCACCCUUCUUGCAGCAGAGGCAGGCCAGCAUGAGGAAGACAAAGGUGAAGAGGCCAGAGAAGGAUACAGCCACCACAGCCAGAGAUGAAGGCCACGACAGCUCGCUCAGCGGGGCCCCAUCUGAAACACCAAGAUCAAGAUAAUUCCAGGGUUUAACUGAGGAAAGCAUUCUGGGAUCCGAUGGCAACCUGCGCAACCAUACAGGAAAUUAAAGGCACAAUAGUGAUCAAGGUGAUUUGUAUACACACAGAUGAUUUGUGACUUUGAUUUGGGAGCCUGAAGAAAGAAGCAUGUGACUCAUAAUCAGCAUUCUCCUCUGCUUCCUAUUCAUCUGUGACCCUGAAUAGGAGACGGGCUCCCGUGGCUUAAUUACAGGAGUUUCUAUGCACUCUGAGUCACAGGGGCUAAAAGUUUGGCACCACCCACGAGCACAAUUAGUUCCUCUGGAUAAUAAUUUAAUACAGCAGCAGUAGAAUCGAUGUAGCUGCUCAUUCUGUCUCUAUGCAAACAACAGUGAUGAAUAAAAAAGCUUUCGGUGAAUCUAUAAUCUGCUUUUAGACUUUCUGCAGUGUGCUGCACAAUCCCCCUUACGGCAAUGUUUGAGAUUCAAAGUAAAAUCCAGAAUUUAUUCAACUGAAGUAACAGCUUUGCAGAACAGUGCACUCAAUGAGACAAAGUAAUGUGUGAGUGCACAGCAUCUUUAACAAGGUCUACUUUAACUACGGCAGGAAGAAUAAAUGCUUCUGUGCGAACGUUAAACAGAAAGCACAAAAAAACAUGUAUAUUGGAGACUUUGUGUAAUUGUUUCCUCUUUAAGCAAGUUACCCGCAAUCUGUCAUUGUCUUCUUGUGUGCAUGUGUGCAGCAUACGUGUCAGAUUUUCUUUUUGGAGCUGAAGACGGGCCAGAGGGCCAGAUGUCACAGUUUGGAACACCUCCAUAUAAUCUCAUUUACAGUUUUAAGCCUCCUGCCAACACAGAUAAGAGAGGAGGGCGAAAGAAAGAGGGAGGCAUGAGAGAGGAAGUCUUAGAGAAUGGAUAUCUGUAUUUCUAUACUUUUAUUUUUUUCUUAUUAAAACAUCUUAUUACCAA